rnacentral:lncRNA from 1 species
GGUCCCCUGGGGCUGCACCCGCUUGGGCGCUCGGUGACCCCGUUUCGGGGCGCAGGCGGCCGUUUGGGUGCUCGYGAGCUGGCGGUGCCGCUCGGGAUGCGCUUUGGGGGGGUUUUGCUGCUCUAAAGGGCAACAGGGUGAAGUUGCCGGACAGUCUAAGUCGCGGGAAAAAAUGCCGUGAGCAGCAGCGCUGCUCCCCGCUCCGCUGCCGCUCACGGGCCGUCUCCCCCCUCGCCAGGCGCGACGGAGCAGAGCGGGAGAGAAACGCCCGGACGACGCGGAGGGGCCGGGGAGAAGCUCCCGCGGCGGCAGGUCCGAUGCCGGGACCGCCGCCGCCCGGCCCGGCGCUGGCUCCGUCUCCGCGGGAGCGAGGGAUGCGGCGGGCCGUGUCGGCGGUGCUGGCCGCGUGCCUGAGCCUGCGCCCGGCGGCUGCGGCACGGCGCCUGCGCCGCCACCGUCGUCCCCUGGCAGACGGCGGCCGAGGAGGUGGUGCACAGCUUCUACGGCGCCGGGGACCAGCUCGCCCGGCAGCACGGCCGCUUCCGGGGCCGCACGCGCUUCUUCCCCGAGGGGCUGCGGCGCGGCGAGGCCGUCCUGCGGCUGCACGACCUGCUGCUCGACGACGCGGGCAACUCCUCGGCCUGGGUGUUUUUCCAGGGGGACGAGGAGCCCGUUCACKGCAAGAUAUCGCUGUGGGUCUCAGGUGGGUCGGUCGCGGCAGAAACCCCCCCGCCGCCGGCUCCGGCCGUGGGGCUGCUCCUUGGCUGAGCGGGGCUGGGCUGGACGCGGGGAAGCGGUUGCAGCUCUCUUACGCCUUGGCUGUGCUGCAGGGCARGAACACGGCAGUGGCUGGCACUGGGGUAGCUGGAUGUCGGCUGUCUCCGUAG